GACGUAGGAGGCGAGCGUUAUCCGGAUUCACUGGGCGUAAAGCGCAUGUAGGCGGAUGUCUAAGUCGUGUGUUAAAGCCCCUGGCUCAACUGGGGAGGUCAUGCGAGACUGGAUGACUUGAGGGCAACAGAGGCACGUGGAACUCCCGGUGUAGCGGUGGAAUGCGUAGAGAAUCGGGAAGAACACCCGUGGCGAAGGCGGCGUGCUGGGUGCAACUGACGCUGAGAUGCGAAAGUGUGGGGAGCAAACGGG
rnacentral:rRNA from 1 species